rfam:Candidatus Jettenia caeni DNA, contig: KST1_D.
GUCUUAUCGAGAGUGGCAGAGGGACUGGCCCUGUGAAGCCACAGCAACCGGUCUUGUCUAGUAAAUAAGCUAGGCAGGAUGCUGGUGCUAAUUCCUGUCUCAUGAUUUGGGAAAAGAUAAGAU